CACGCCCCGGCGGAGCACUUGCUGCCGCCGCUGCCACUGCUCUUCAGCUUUUAACCGCUUGCGAUGCUUCUGGAUCUAUCCAAGGGGAAGAGACCGGCAAGAUUAAAAAGAACUGGCGGACUGAAUGGAAAUGAAGGAAACGUACGGCAACAACGGGCAGCAAGCACACAGCAACGGUCAAGAUGAUGGUCAACCAAAUGUAUGGCUGUCUCAGAGCAUUGGAAGCUGUGCCUGGAAAGAACACAGAGACUGAAUCACAGUGGUCCUUUCGUCCCAUGGGCAUGGUUAAAAUUCCAUAAUCCACACAUUCCAUUCUCUAUGUUUGCAGAUAAGCUCCAAACGGUAUGAAGAAGAGGAUCAUGGAUGUUAAAAUGCCAUGCAGCAAGCUCACGAAGAAUCUCCUAUAGUUGAACAGUUCCACGCUUUGGACCCACUUGUGACUUGGAAGCAGAAGCUAAUUGGAGCCCAGCAUCCCUUCCCUUUUUGGCAUUUCUGCAGCAGAAGUCAUAUCCAUUCUUCAGCUGCUUGGAUAUUGCUAAGCAACUGCAAGGGCUUCUCAGUUGAAAAGUUCUUCAGUGAAGCCUCAAAGCCAGAAGCUGCACCAAUGAGUGACCCAGACAUUACAGGGAGCCUAGAAUCUGCUUCUUCAGUCCAACCAAAAUUUUCGGUCUUAGACCAAGAAAAACAACACCCACCAGCCAUCUUCAGGUAAGACAGCUGAAGAGACAUCUUCAGGCCCAAGGGAGGGAGAAAGCAGCCUCUGAGAAUCCCUGCAUCCUUGCUAGGCACCACCAACCGUGAAAUAUGUUAACCAACUGAGAUGUUUUUGGACCCCUACCUGUAACUGUGCCUCUUUAUAAACAACAAACCUAAUUUCUUUCUGCAUUGUUCUUGAUGCAGGUGAAAGAGAUGACAAUUUUCACAAGGUACAAAAAUUUGGUACUUAACAAUACUUGGAUCAAGCUCCUGACUUCCAAGGAGACCCGAAUUCCUUUGAUUUUCAUCCCAAAUGGAUGCUUCCCACAUUAUACAUAAAAGCACCUACCAUACAACCUAGCUUAAUAAAAUUCUUCAAACUACUUAAGAAAAAAACAGUCUC